UGGGAUGUGGUUCUGGGGAGAUGAUGCCAUU
rnacentral:piRNA from 1 species